UACGUAGGGGGCGAGCGUUGUCCGGAAUUAUUGGGCGUAAAGAGCUCGUAGGCGGUCUGUCGCGUCUGCUGUGAAAACUCGGGGCUUAACCCCGGGCCUGCAGUGGGUACGGGCAGACUAGAGUGCGGUAGGGGAGACUGGAAUUCCUGGUGUAGCGGUGAAAUGCGCAGAUAUCAGGAGGAACACCGGUGGCGAAGGCGGGUCUCUGGGCCGUAACUGACGCUGAGGAGCGAAAGCGUGGGGAGCGAACAGG
rnacentral:rRNA from 1 species